GACCUAGAGGCCGGCGCGGGGGCCGGCCCAGGCGGGGCGGUGUCGUCGGAUGGCCGGCUCGGGGUGUCGGCCGGGCCGGGGAAGCCUGCGCUCGCGCCCGGCGGCCCAGCUACCCUGCCGGAGUCCGACUCCAAGCCGAGAAGGCGCUCUGCGAGAACUGCGUCCGCGGAGGGGGGCUGGAGGGCCCGGACAUCAUCCCUUUGUCACGCCUCAGGGGAGCCUGCGAUGUCUCACCUUAGCGCUCAUCUGGACUCUGCUCGUUUACAGAAGGGGAAACUGAGGCCGAGAGAGAGAGGAAAAGACUUCCUCCGACCACCCCAUGAGCCAGAACCAGAACUCUGGGCCACUAGCUCUUUCUUCCUUUCCACGAUGUCUCUUAAAAUCUCAAACGCGGAGAGUUUGGCUGGUUUUAAAUGCGUCUUCAACACAAUAGACCCACUUGAUAAGUCUCCUCACAGCGAGCAACCCCUAAGGAAAAUUCCAAGAACUCUACCGAGUUUUAGGUGGAGACAGGCUGGUGGGAAUGUGAGGCCGGCAGCCUUGCGGCUCCCGGGGUCCCUCCUGGUGGGGAGUCUCACUCCCCGGAAACUGCUCCGCCCGCCCAUGCAGGGCCCCGCCUGGCAGGUCGAGUGAGCGCGCGUUUAUGAAAGGUUUGUCGGUAGAAUCCGUGUUAGGGGACAGUUCCUCCCCGUUAGGAUAGUAACUGGGAGAACACCUGCUAAGAAUAACGUGCCACGAUCAGAUUUAUAUUUAAAAAACACUUUCCUAGUAAUUUGGCCUCUUAAAUUUACAAAAAAUUUCAGCGACCCCUCUCUAAGGGAACGACCCUGUGGUUUGAAGCCGUCGUGCUCCAUGGGCGCCAUCUGUUUCUGAGUCUGACAGGGAGGGGAUGGAGGGAGCAGAAACAGGCCUUAGACAAAAUGGCCCUCCCUCUAAACCGGCUAAGUAUCCUGGGCGUAGUGAGGGAUUAGAUUUCUGGAAGCUUUUGUCCAUUGUUUCUAACAAUGAGUAAAACCAGGUUGAGGAAGAUGUAAAAAUAGCCUCAAAAUGUAGGUUCUGAACCUACCUGGCCUCUUUCCCGCUGGGCGAGUCAUUAUGCUGACUUGGCCUUGGUUUCUGUCUGAACGGUGGGGUCAUCUGUACCUACCUUGCAGGGGUGCAGUGAUAAAUGCGCUCAGCCCUGUGUCUGUCCAUCUGUCCACAGAGGUGCCUGCUGGUGGCUGCCAUGAGGUAGUUACUAUCAGUCCAGCCCAAGUUGACUGUCUGGCAUGGUCUUCGGUUUCUACAGAAACGGUUAACUUUCCUGAGCAGAUAGGACUCCCCUUUUGUUUAAACCUUCAUCAGUUUUCUGUCGGGAAGGGAUGCCGUCAGAGAGGAGAAUGUGAAUUUCCAUGCUUUUAUUAAAAACGACUUUUCGUUUAAGCCUUGCGUGCAGGAACAGAAUCUGCUGUGCGGGACUGUUUUGGUCUGAGCCUGUGGUCUGGUGAACAGCCCAUGAACAUCAGGUCAUCCUGAGGGCUGAGGGAGCCCCCGCCUUCAAGGAAGGCGUUUUGAGGGAGGCCACUGUCGGUGACCUGGGCGAUGCUCUCUAAGGUUUCAACCAGAGUAGGGGGCUUCCUGGCUGUGUCUGUGCAGCGGGGAAGGAGGCAGCAAAGAGAGAAGGCACAGACACACUUGAGGAGCCAAGCAGCUUGCUGCAAAGUUGUGCCAGUGUAGCCCUGUGUCCUGGCAACCUGCAUUCUGCCCCCUUCUCCAGUACGUGCCGCAGGCUCCGACACCUUGCUCUUGUUCAGAGGGAUGUUACAUGGCUUCUGUGUUUUCUAGAUUGACUUGCUGUCUUUUUGGAGAAUUGGAGUUUGGGAAAAGAAAAUAAGAAUUAAAUUAUUUUCUGACUUGUUCACUGCUGUGUUGCCACCAAUGGAAAGGUCCCUAGCACAGGAUAGAGUUUCAGUGUUUGUUGAUUGAACAACUUUGCCUAUUUAAUGAUAGCUCUGACUCACCACCAUUUAUUUAGUACUUUCCACGCGCCAGGUGUUUUACACACAUCCUCUCUGCUCUUCACAAUGAUCCCAUGGAUGUGAUACCUAUUUUAUGAUGAGAAACCUGAGGCUCAGAGAGGGUGAGUAACCCGCCUGAGGUCCCACAGCAGCUGGUGGCAAAGCCAGAACAUCAGUCCAGUCUCCACUGACUCAAAGGUUUGUGCUUUUUGAAAAGCUAGUGGCGUCUCAUCUCAGGGAGGUUUGGUUCCGAUGUCUGUGCAUAAGUUGAAAAAGUAUACGAUGCAAUUCUAUUUUAUUUUGAGAAAAACUUUUGGUUGAGUUUCUUUUUAAAGAUAUGUGUAUUAUAAACAUAACAGCAUUGUACAAAGGUUGGAAAACUGGAGGAAACAAUGGUAAUCCCAGCUACCUGACAUCUUUACUUUUCUGCAUCUGAAUCAUUAUUCUUUUCUACAUUUUUCAUAUUCUCUAAAUAUACAAGUAUUACUUCUGAACAAAAAUAGAGAGAGAAUGAUAUGAAAGUCCCACCCCCUCUUGCAAGCCUUACCUCUUUGCGCUCUUCCCUUCAGCCCAGCAGGGGCCUGGAGGGCCAGCCAGGGGCAUAGGGUGCUCAACACGCAGUUGCUGACUGAGUGAGCUGGGCUGCUGGUUAAGAAUCCUGCCCGAGCUACAAGCAGAGCCUUGUUCAUAAGCUGUGGCUCCUGGCUCCCUCUGGUCCAUCUCCUACCACCUUCACUCCCCCUCACUCACUCUGUUCCAGGUGUACUGGCUUCCUUGCUGUUCCUGGAACGCUGAGCAAACUCUGGACUCGAGGCCUUUGCCCACGCUCUUUCCUCUGUCUGGGCAUUGCUCUUUCUGAUAUUCAUUUUGCUUGCUCCCUCGCUUCCCUCAGAUCUCUGCUGAGACGUCAGCUCCUCAGAGAGGCCUUUCUGGACCACUUCUGUAAAACAGCGUCCAUUCCUACCAUCCCCCUCACUCUCUGUCCUCUUGUGCAUUGUUUUGCGUCUUCUUGGUAUUUAUCGUCACUUGACGUACUGUAUAUUUUUCUUCUUUGUUUAAUGUGUCUCCCUUUAUUGGAAUGUGUACGCCCCCAAAGCGGGGCUUUAUCUGUUUUGUUCAACGGAACAGUGCGUGGCAUGUAGUCGGGGUUCAGUAAAUACUGGAUGAAUGAGUGAGUGAAUUCAAAAGGGUGGUUGCCCUUACCAACUUGGCAGGCAGGAUGGGGGCAGCAGUUUAGGGAGCUGAGGUGGACAGAGCCACACCAGGUCUACAGCAGCAAGAGUCAUGCAGUCCCUACCAGCCUGUGGGCCAGGGGCUGCCCACCUGGCCCAGCCCUGCCCUGCCCAGGGCUGGCUGAGGAGCCUGGCUCCAUUGGGGAACCAGCUGGGGCAGCAUUUGGUAGGGAAAGCUGAAUUGAUCUCAGAAACCCUGACCCCCAGCCGCACUAUGAAGAACAUCCCAGGUGAGCCCAGACUUCCCUGCUGUCAGAUUUAAGGAAGAAAGGCAAAUGACACAUCUUCCAUUUCCCCCAAUCCUGUAAUUUUUAUAAAACGAAUGGAAGACUUGGAUAAAUUUAUAUUUUGUCCAUAAAAUACAGAAAGCAAAUUUUUCUACAUGAACUGUGUUGUUGGAAAAACAAUUAUUGAGGACUUCAAAGAAAGUAAUUAGUAAUGAUGCGCAGUAAUUUCAUUCUCUUCAUUUCCUAUGUCCCUCCCCGGCGUUAGCUAAUGUUUCCUAUGCCGCCUGUUGAAGAAAUACUUAACAAAAAGAUCUCCCUGGGUUAUUUGAAUUCCUUUCAUCCAGCGACCUCGGAGCGCUACAGGUACAGUAAUUCAUUAGUCCUCUCCUGUGCUGUGGGUGGAAUUAAGAUGUUAUUGCAACACAUUGUAGACUGAGAAAUAAGCAAGAACCACAGAACAAUUAUAAAAAUAGGACAGAGAAAAGAGAGGCUUAGAAACCAGCGGUUCAACCACGUCAGUCCCUGGUGAAGGUGAUGGUAUUCGUGUUGGUGUAUGUGUUGGCGGGCGGGGUAGGGGGAGCACUUGGAAGUGGGAGAAGAAUGCUUUUCAUUCCCUGAGGAAUCCCAUUCCUCGGAUGGGAACCUCGAGGAUGGGUCGCAGGAGCAGCUGAAGAGCUGGGCACUGGGUUGGGGGGUGUCUGGAAACCCCCAGUGUUGGGGUGAUGAGAUCCUGACAAUCCUGCGCCCUCUGCCCCCACGCAGCUUCGUGAGCUCCCCGUGUCUCAGCCGGAUCUCCAGAGUGUGUGUGUUUAUCCUUCCUGACCGCUGUGGUCAGAAGGGAGGUCUGCCGCCGCCCAGUCCUGGCCGCAAUUACGCCCGCACAAUUCUUUGGGCAAUUAAUCACGGGCUGCCUGGGGACGAGGCUGCUGUUGCCAGCUCAAGCGUUCUGUCUGGUGCACCCAUUGUUUGCUUAUGGAUACCAUGUGUGUGGCAGGCAGGGCCACUGCUGGCUUUUCUCUUCUAUCCAGAGACCCGAGCAUCGUGCUGGGCUUCUGAUAAAAUUUCAGCAAACAUUUUUUGAGAAAAUAAGAAGCCUGUGCUGUUAUGGAAAGGUGGAGAGUGUCGAAGAGAGAACUGGGAGUAGGGAAGUGGGUCCCGGGCGGUACAUGUGUGAGAGGGUUUGAGGGGAGAGAAGUGCCUGCCAAGCGAGCACCUCUCCUGGGCUCGGCCUGGCACUGGCAUCUUCGCCAGAUGAUGAUUGUCAUGGCAAGCAUGGUGUCAAGUACUUAAAAUGCAUCCUCAUCACAGUCCCCUGAGGAAGACAUUACAUGGCCGUUUUACAGAUGAGGUAAACUGAGGCUCAGAGGGAUUAAGUUGCUUUAUGAAGUCACACAGUGGUGGAAGCGAGAUUUGAACCUCGUCUGACAACCUCGUUCUUACUCACAGACCUGCUAAAUGGCCUCUGCUGUCACCAACCCUUGUGAGUUGGGGAUUAUCGUCUGUUUUACUGAUGAGGAGCUAGAUGCAGGAUGGCUGGGCCUGGGACAAGGGCAGGGUCAUCUGCAUCUCGCUACCCUUCCAACUGCGUCUACCCUGCACUUGGUCCCAGUUCGUAAGUUCCACCAACACUGCAAUUCGGGAGGAUGUUUUCCCAAUCCGAUGCAUCCUUGCUCAUGAAACCCUGGACUGCUGUUCCCCAUGUCCACUGCUCUGUCUCCAGGGCCACCGGGGCAGACGCUCAGUAAGUGCUGGCUGGGACCCUGGGAUUUGGCAGGGCCUGCUCAGCUGGGCGGACAUCCAGCCUGCAGCUCCUGAGAUGCUGGGAGCCUUCAGGUAUGACAUUGAUGGAUUUUAAAAUAAUGUAUUUACAAAUUACUCGGUGAGGUAUUCAAGAGAAAGAUAAAAAAGACCAGGGAUAGUGACUAAACCACACUGAUGGGGACAGCAGAGUAGUGUCUGUGAAAAAACCGCCAUUAAACACUUAUUUCUAGGGUUAACAUCCGUAAGACGAACCUACCUGAAAUGAUCUCUUUAAACCUUUUUUUGGUAAUAUGGUAAUGUGCAUUUCUAUAGCUUUGCGUGCUACUUAAAGUAAUUUUUUUUGGAAAGACAACCCUUAAAGCAAUUGAUAUGUUGUGGUUCGUAUAUCCACCUUCUAAAAAAUUAAAAUGCCAUUUAGCAUUUAUAAUUGUAAAUUCUGAGGAUUUCCAUAUGGCAAACCUGGGAGGCAGAGCAGCGUCAUCAGAGCCGAGGCAACUGAAUGCUCCCCUCAGCCACCAGCAAGCGUCAUAAAAAUUUACUUCAUGCUGUGUCUAAACAGCACCAAACACUCCCUUCAAAUGAAAUAACUGGCACUCCCUCUCCAGAGGUGGGGAGGAGAUGGGGGAAGCAAGAGAGCCAGGAACAUGGGAAUGCCCUCUGACAGCUCCCUUCCUGCUGGGUCUCCCGGCCCGCAAAUGCUGGGGGCCGCCUGCCGUUUGCCGGGUGCGCUCAGCCUUGCAGGUGUCCUGCCUGCGUUAUCUUCUUGUUGAGGGGGCUCCAUUGAUCUAUAUGUUCUUUUUCUACUAAAGUCCCCAGAUUUGGGGAUUUGAGAGAGUUGUGGCUAUGAGCAUGGCCUUGGGAGCUGGGCAGACCUGGCCUGAUACACUGCUUUAUCUUGCUGCGUCUCAGUUUUCUUGUCUGUGAAAUGGGCUUACUAGUUGUUUUGUUGGGAGUGUUAAAUGAGAUCGUUGUUGGAGAACAGUUAGUUCAGGGCCUGCAGGAGGUGGUAUGCAGUGAGUGUGGCCAGCACUUUUAGUUCCAGAAAUCUGGGCAUGUGGCUCGUCCUCUGUCCCCACACUGCUGCGGAAGAUGGUGUAUUUGCACCUGCAGGGAUCGGUCCUUGUAUGUGGGAAAUAAAGAGAGAGCAACAGUUCCUGACUGAAAAGAAGCUAAACUCCUGUCUGCAUGGAGCCAUUCCUAGCAAUCAAGCAAACCGGGAAUCCAGUGGCCUCAAGAGCUGGAAGGGAUCCCAGAGGCCACUCAGCCAGACUCUUCAUUUCGUGGAUGAGGAAACCGAGGCCCAGAGACAGGUGCUGGCCUUGCCAAAGAUCACAGUCUGGUUGGCAGCAAAACCAGGGCUGGAAGCGAAGCCCCUUAGCCGACUGGGCGUCUGACAUGGCGUCUCUCUAAGUCCAGCCCUUUGCAAUACUUUUACAGCUGCACUUUAAAAAGGAGGUCCAGUUGCAAAGUGAGAGCAAAGAGCCUUUCUAAUUUACCCAGAGAAGAGGAGGAAAAUGACAGGCUUGCUAACGGCCGGAAGAGCACUUCCAGCUCUGUGUACAGGCUGGAGGAUUGAUUGCCGGGCCGAGAGUGUCAGCGCUCUCAGCAAGCUUCCUUUCUGAGGCAAUUAAGCCUUGCACCUCCCCGCUCUGCUGAGGACCUGGGUCAGGCCCCAGGAGACUCGGGUGGGAGCUGGAAGCCCAGGCUGGACCAACCCCGGCCUCAAGUCCUGAAGAAGGUCACAGGGGUAGGCAAGAACUUGGAGCCCACAGUAGAGCGAGGCUGUCAGGGCCAUGAGGUCAUGCUUCCUGGUACCUGGCCUGAUGGCCAAACUCCCACACUCCCUCACAUGGAAUCAGAAUCCCCAUGUGACCACCUGAUUGAAGCUGUGUACCAGGACCACCCGGGGCCAGCUAUACCUGUCCCUGUCACCCAGCUGGCUCCCUUGAUGGCACUCUCCAUCUUGAUUGUGCCUGGGUUUGCUCUGCCCUGUGCACUUUGGAGCUGUGGACCAGGAGCCUCCCCACGGUAGAGCCCAGUGUGACUCUGGAGCUGGGCCUGUGGUCCCAGCCCUGUCACCCUGGCCUAGCGUGGCUUAUUCCCUCUGGCUGACUGUUGACCAAGUGAUGGAGCUCACAGGUGGGAGGGAUCAAACUUCUCCUGUGGAAAUCUAAUGAAUGAAGCCCAGAGAUCUCCUGAGCUACCCACUUGCAACUCACUUUUGAGUGACAGUAAUGAAAAGAAAACAUUAUUUGGCCUCCCCUGGGCAAACAGAGACACUUACGAUGUCCCAUACUCCACCAAGGCCCAACCAUCUCACUGUCACAGAGACUGACAUCUACAGUCCCAGGAGUGGGCGUCUCCCAGAGAGGACCCAUAGGGAUUCUGAACUGACCCCCUGUGGCUUACACCUUCCUUAAAUCUGAUCUACUGUAGUCUCUUGCUCAUCAAUGAUCUGACAUCUUGUUUUAAGCUCCAAAAUAGCAAUUCACUUUUGUCUUGUAGGCUAACUUAGAUUGGCUGAAAGUGGUUGCCUGAGUGCUGUGUUAAGAAGGAUUCCGAGGCCAUGUCUGGGCUCAAGGAGAAAAUAUUGCAAUGGAUCAACUGUAGCUGCCAAGAUUUCCUCGGGGAACCUCAACAGCCCUUCCCUUCUGUCAUGAAGAGCAAUCCAGUUCUUUCCCAGCUCCUACCUCCCAGUUCAUCCUGAGACUCCUGGACGAGAGCCGGGCCGUGGGGUGAAGUACAAUGUGGUCAGCAGCCUCUCAGCUGGUCCCAGUGAUGCCCUUCUCCUGGUAUCCGUGCCUGUGCGCAAUCCCUCUUCUUGAGAAGGGCCGCAGUGACUCAUCAUAAUGAAUACAAUACAGCAGAGGUCGUGGUAUGUCACUUCUGAGGACAGGCUAUGAAAAGACGGUGACUUCCAUCUUGGGUGACCUCCCUCAUUCACUUGCUCUGAGGAAAGCCAGCUGCCCUGUUGUGAGCAGCCCUGUGGAGAGAUCCACAUGGUGUGGAACAGAGGGAAGCCUUUGGCCGAUAGCCAGAAAAGAACUGAGGGCUUCAGUCCGACAGCCCAAAAGGAACGGAAUCUUGUCAAUAACCUCAUGAGUGAUCUUGGAAGCAGAGCCUCCCUCAGUCAAGUCUUCAGGUGAGAUCACCACCCUGGCUGACCCCUUGACAGCAAGCCCCAGGAGAGACCCUGUGCCAGAGAACCCAGUUAGACUGCGCCUGGAUUCCUCACCCACAGAAACAGCAAGACAAUAAAUGUUCAUCGCUUCAGAAAGCUAAAUUUUAGGGGCGAUUUCUUUAUGCAGCAAGUGAUAACUAAUAUCCACAUUGAUUGCUUUUUGAAUGUGAAAUAAAUAUUGCAUUCUUGAAAUAAACCUCACCUGGCUAUGAUAUGUUAUCCUUUAAAACCUUGUUGAAUGCGAUUUACUAGUAUUUUGUUCAGGAUUUUUGUGUCUCAGUUCAUAAGGGAUGUUGGUGUGUACUUCUUUUGCAAUGUCUUUGCCCGGUUUUGAUAUUAGAGCUCUGCUAGCCUCAUAAAAUG